rnacentral:tRNA from 1 species
UGUGGUGGUUCUAGUGGUACAGUGCUUGCCUGGCAUGCGUGAGGCACUGGGUUCAAUUCUCAGCACCACAU